GGGGCUCCUGGGGGGUCUUUUCAAAACUGCGCCGGAAUUGUCCUGCGAACUGACCCCAGAGAAUGUUCGGAUUUAGGCUUCUAAUUGUGAAGAAACAUUUCAGAGGGCCGGGAUAUAACAAUGGGGAGGGAGCAGACAUAUUUAGCAGGGUUUCUCUGCAUAGCUGUCUCCCAAUUAACUGUUGAUUGUGGGUUGUUUCCAUGUGUUGUGAAUGGUUCUCGAAGACCUGUAGCCUAUCUAAGGAAUGCUUAAGUCUUUCCCCUUAAAAAUGGUUCCUUAUCAGUUUUAAGUUCAGAGGAGACCAUGGUAAAACAGUAUCGGCGCUGGGGUAUGGAGAAAUACUAGGCUUUUCUCGCUUGGAGUCCUGAUUUCAGUGUUCUGGUUCUAUCCUGAGCACUUCUCUGGGCUUCUGUUUUCUCAUUUUAAGCAAGGUUUCAAACGCCAAGAUGCAAGCGUUGUCAGAAUACAUAGAAAUGGGACGAUUUAAAAGGGAUCAGCUAUUACAUUUUUCAUGUUUCUCAUCACUAAAAAUGCGUUUAAAAAAAAAAAAAAAGCAUUAUUUUGGCUUAUAUUGCAAAAUCCCGAGUGUGAUUUUGGUUUUAGUGUGCCAAUAUUUUUAAGCAAAUUCAAAUGAAAUAGACAAAAUACCGUACCAAGAAAAGAGUUGGAGUCGGUAUUUCAGGUUUAGAUAGGUAUAGUUAGAAAGUGAAGGAUAUUUGGAAUUCCUCUCGUAACCUUUGAACUUUUAAACUUAAAAAUGAUUUCUGAAAUUUAAGAGUGCACAAACCCUUCAUUUUAAAUGUGAACUCAUUUUUCUUCACAUUUAAAAAUUAAAGUACCAUUCAAAAGGAUUGGCGAGAAAGAUCAUCAAGUUUUGGAACAUAGACUACAUACUUGGAAGGUACAGAUUUUCUAGCAGGUGGGGAUCAGUAGCAAUGGUUAUUAAUUCAGUUUCCCAUUUACAAGCAUCAGCCAUGUAGUUUCAUCUAAUAAAAACAAAGCACCUUGUAGGCCCCGUUAGCUUUUAUAUAUAAACACUUUUUUCUUUUUUUUUUUAGCUGAGGGUGAAUUUCCAGAAUUCUCAAUAACGUUACUAGAGGUGGAAAUUAUGGCACUUCAAGAGGCUCUGAACCCUUAUUUCAGUGAUCUUGCCUUCAAAUGUGUAUAGGAAUCCCAACACCCAGCACUUAUACUCGGGUA